CGAAAGUCUGACCGAGCAACGCCGCGUGAGUGAGGAAGGCCUUCGGGUCGUAAAGCUCUGUUGUUAGGGAAGAACAAGUACCGUUCGAACAGGGCGGUACCUUGACGGUACCUAACCAGAAAGCCACGGCUAACUACGUGCCAGCAGCCGCGGUAAUACGUAGGUGGCAAGCGUUGUCCGGAAUUAUUGGGCGUAAAGCGCGCGCAGGCGGUCUCUUAAGUCUGAUGUGAAAGCCCACGGCUCAACCGUGGAGGGUCAUUGGAAACUGGGGGACUUGAGUACUGGAGAGGAGAGUGGAAUUCCAUGUGUAGCGGUGAAAUGCGUAGAUAUAUGGAGGAACACCAGUGGCGAAGGCGGCUCUCUGGCCAGUAACUGACGCUGAGGCGCGAAAGCGUGGGGAGCAAACAGGAUUAGAUACCCUGGUAGUCCACGCCGUAAACGAUGAGUGCUAGGUGUUGGGGGGUUCCACCCUCAGUGCUGACGUUAACACAUUAAGCACUCCGCCUGGGGAGUACGACCGCAAGGUUGAAACUCAAAGGAAUUGACGGAAUC
rnacentral:rRNA from 1 species